AUAGCGUAUAUUAAAGUUGUUGCAGUUAAAAAGCUCGUAGUUGAACUUCAGACCUGGCCGGACGGUCUGCCUAACGGUUUGUACUGUCUGGCUGGGCCUUACCUCUUGGUGAGCCGGCGUGCCCUUUACUGGUGUGCGUCGGGGAACCAGGACUUUUACCUUGAGAAAAUUAGAGUGUUCAAAGCAGGCCUAUGCCCGAAUACAUUAGCAUGGAAUAAUAAAAUAGGACGUGCGGUUCUAUUUUGUUGGUUUCUAGAGUCGCCGUAAUGAUUAAUAGGGAUAGUUGGGGGCAUUGGUAUUGAGUCGCUAGAGGUGAAAUUCUUGGAUUGACUCAAGACCAACUAUUG
rnacentral:rRNA from 1 species